AGCCACUGACUAACGCACAUUGUGCUGUUAGCGAUUCCACUGUGCGUGUGACAGCGGCUAA
rnacentral:pre_miRNA from 1 species